CCUACGGGAGGCAGCAGUGGGGAAUCUUGCGCAAUGGGCGAAAGCCUGACGCAGCGACGCCGCGUGGGGGACGAAGGCCUUUCAGGUCGUAAACCCCUUUCGGCAGGGACGAAGCGAUCUCGUGACGGUACCUGCAGAAGAAGCCUCGGCUAACUACGUGCCAGCAGCCGCGGUAAU
rnacentral:rRNA from 1 species